AGCGGCGGACGGGUGAGUAACGCGUGGGGAACCUGCCCUAUACAGGGGGAUAACAGUUAGAAAUGACUGCUAAUACCGCAUAAGCGCACGGAGCCGCAUGGCCCUGAGUGAAAAACGAUAGUGGUAUAGGAGGGACCCGCGUCUGAUUAGGUAGUUGGUGGGGUAACGGCCCACCAAGCCGACGAUCAGUAGCCGACCUGAGAGGGUGACCGGCCACAUUGGGACUGAGACACGGCCCAAACUCCUACGGGAGGCAGCAG
rnacentral:rRNA from 1 species